UAGGGAAUCUUCGGCAAUGGACGAAAGUCUGACCGAGCAACGCCGCGUGUGUGAAGAAGGUUUCCGGAUCGUAAAACUCUGUUUUUAGAGAAGAACAAGGACGUUAGUAACUGAACGUCCCCUGACGGUAUCUAACCAGAAAGCCACGGCUAACUACGUGCCAGCAGCCGCGGUAAUACGUAGGUGGCAAGCGUUGUCCGGAUUUAUUGGGCGUAAAGCGAGCGCAGGCGGUUUCUUAAGUCUGAUGUGAAAGCCCCCGGCUCAACCGGGGAGGGGCAUUGGAAACUGGGAGGAUAGAGUGCAGAAGAGGAGAGUGGAAUUCCAUGUGUAGCGGUGAAAUGCGUAGAUAUAUGGAGGAACACCAGUGGCGAGGGCGGCGCUCUGGUCUGUAACUGACGCUGAGGCUCAAAAGCGUGGGGAGCAAACAGG
rnacentral:rRNA from 1 species